rnacentral:rRNA from 1 species
AUUGAACGCUGGCGGCAGGCCUAACACAUGCAAGUCGAGCGGAUGAAGGGAGCUUGCUCCUGGAUUCAGCGUCGGACGGGUGAGUAAUGCCUAGGAAUCUGCCUGGCAGUGGUGGAUAAUGUCCUGAAACGGGCGCUACUACUGCAUACGUCCUGAGGGUGAAAGUGGGGGAUCUUCGGACCUCACGCUCUCAGAUGAGCCUAGGCCGGAUUAGCUAGUUGGUGGGGUAAAGGCCUACCAAGGCGACGAUCCGUAACUGGUCUGAGAGAAUGAUCAGUCACACUAGAACUGAGACACGGUCAAGACUCCUAAGGGAGGCAGCAGUGGGGAAUAUUGGGCAGUGGGCGGAAGCCUGAUCCAGCCAGGCCGCGUGUGUGAAGAAGAUCUUCGGAUUGUAAAGCACUUUAAGUUGGGAGGAAGGGCAGUAAGUUAAUACCUUGCUGUUUUGACGUUACCAACAGAAUAAGCACCGGCUAACUUCGUG